GGAUGUGAGGGCGAUCUGGCUGCAACAUCUGUCACCCCAUUGAUUGCCAGGGUUGAUCUGGCUAAUCUGGCUGGCUAGGCGGGUGUCCCCUUCCUCCCUCACCACUCCAUGUGCGUCCCUCCCGCAGCUGCGUGCUCGGUCAAAGAGGACAACCUUCCUUGAUAGAGGAGAGGACCAUUCUUCAGUCAAGGGUAUACAAGUAGCUGCGCUCCCCUGCUAGAACCUCCAAACAAGCUCUCAAGGAAUAAUCUGGCAGAUUUGAAAAAGAACAACGACAACUUUUUGCAGUGAAAUGUAAUGACUGAAA
ensembl:misc_RNA 7SK 7SK RNA